UUUUUGUGAAAAAUUUAAAGUUUGGCCUGCCCACUGAUUAUUUAAAGGGCCGCAGUAUCUUGACUGUGCAAAGGUAGCAUAAUCAUUUGUCUUUUAAUUGAAGGCUGGAAUGAAUGGUUGGACGAGGUAUAAGCUGUCUCAUUUUAAAAAAAUUAAAAAUUUAGCUUUUGAGUCAAAAGGCUUAAAUUUAUUUAAAGGACGAGAAGACCCUAUAGAUUUUUAUAUAUUUAUUUAUUAGGUUUUUUAGAUUAAUAAAAGGGUUUUUAUAAUAAAUUUAUUUUGUUGGGGUGAUGUUAAGAUUAAAUAAACUCUUAUAAGUUUAUAACAUUAAUAUAUGAUUAUUUUGAUCUUUUAUUAUUGAUUAAUAGAAUAAAUUACCUUAGGGAUAACAGCGUAAUCUUAUUGGAGAGUUCAAAUUUAUAAUAAGGGUUGCGACCUCGAUGUUGAAUUAAAGGUGUUCCUGGGUGCAGAAGUUCAGGAAAAUAGGUCUGUUCGACCAUUAAAUCUUU
rnacentral:rRNA from 1 species